rnacentral:rRNA from 1 species
UUGCGGUAUGGGAUGGGGUCGCGUCCUAUCAGCUUGAUGGCGGGGUAACGGCCCACCAUGGCUUCGACGGGUAGCCGGCUUGAGAGGGCGACCGGCCACAUUGGGACUGAGAUACGGCCCAGACUCCUACGGGAGGCAGCAGUGGGGAAUAUUGCACAAUGGGCGCAAGCCUGAUGCAGCGACGCCGCGUGCGGGAUGACGGCCUUCGGGUUGUAAACCGCUUUUGACUGGGAGCAAGCCCUUCGGGGUGAGUGUACCUUUCGAAUAAGCACCGGCUAACUACGUGCCAGCAGCCGCGGUAAUACGUAGGGUGCAAGCGUUAUCCGGAAUUAUUGGGCGUAAAGGGCUCGUAGGCGGUUCGUCGCGUCCGGUGUGAAAGUCCAUCGCUUAACGGUGGAUCCGCGCCGGGUACGGGCGGG